GCAGCAUCACAAAAAGAAGGCCAAGGAGGCGAAGAAGCUGGGAUUGAAUAAAAAACGCAAGGUCGAGAAGGAUCCUGGUAUUCCUAAUGAUUGGCCAUUCAAGGAACAGGAGCUCAAGGCUCUUGAAGCCCGUCGGGCUCGUGCUCUUGAGGAAUUGGAGCAAAAGAAAGCUGCUCGCAAGGAGAGGGCUCAAAAGAGGAAGUUGGGAUUGCUCGAGGAUGAUGAUAUCUCUAAUUUUGCUGAUGUAGCUUCAGCAAAAGAACAAAAUUUUGAAGAGCGAAAUGUUGAUUUUAGUGGAAUUGCCAGAAACCGGGAUAAUUCAGAUAGGGCAUUCUAUAAGGAGUU
rnacentral:misc_RNA from 1 species